rnacentral:rRNA from 1 species
UGAGGAAUAUUGGUCAAUGGACGUAAGUCUGAACCAGCCAAGUAGCGUGCAGGAUGACGGCCCUAUGGGUUGUAAACUGCUUUUGUAUGGGGAUAAAGUCAAUCACGUGUGAUUGUUUGCAGGUACCAUACGAAUAAGGACCGGCUAAUUCCGUGCCAGCAGCCGCGGUAAUACGGAAGGUUCGGGCGUUAUCCGGAUUUAUUGGGUUUAAAGGGAGCGUAGGCCGGAGAUUAAGUGUGUUGUGAAAUGUAGACGCUCAACGUCUGACUUGCAGCGCAUACUGGUUUCCUUGAGUACGCACAACGUUGGCGGAAUUCGUCGUGUAGCGGUGAAAUGCUUAGAUAUGACGAAGAACUCCGAUUGCGAAGGCAGCUGACGGGAGCGCAACUGACGCUGAAGCUCGAAGGUGCGGGUAUCGAGCAGGAUUAGAUACCCUGGUAGUCCGCACAGUAAACGAUGGAUGCCCGCUGUUGGUACCUAGUAUCAGCGGCUAAGCGAAAGCAUUAAGCAUCCCACCUGGGGAGUACGCCGGCACGGU